UCUAAUCAUCUGUUGUCUUUAACAGUGAGCGGCCGGGUGCAGGAGGGAGAGGAAGUUUGGAGAGGGACUGAAACGUCUUGGAGAGAACGUAUCACCGAUGAGUGUGUUGAAAAACAUUAAAUCUGUUGUAGCCUACAACUCUGUACGCUUGGCUACUUUGACGUGCGUAUUCGUGGAACCGCAAGACAGCGACUUCUACAACGUGCGUCACCUCGCCAACAGAGUUUGAGAGAGCCUGGACAAUCUUCUCAUGUGCUGUGGCCACCACACUCUGCCCGUUGAUCUCGAUGAUCCGGUGGCCAACCCGGACCCCUCCUCGCUCAGCUAUGCCCCCCCGCAUAAGACUGCAUAUCUGGGAGGAACACAAAAAAGGUGGCGAGCGGCAGCCCUACGAGGCUGGUGUUGUUGAUGGACAUGAUCUGAUCGCCGAUGCUCAACUUGCCUGAGCGUGCCGCUGGGGCGCCGUUCAUCAUGUUGGCUAAGAUGACCGUGGGGAGGAUGGAACCCCA